rnacentral:rRNA from 1 species
GUGAGGAAUAUUGGACAAUGGGCGCAAGCCUGAUCCAGCCAUGCCGCGUGCAGGAAGACGCAUCUAUGGUGUGUAAACUGCUUUUGUACGGGAAGAAACACUCCCUCGUGAGGGAGCUUGAUGGUACCGUAAGAAUAAGGAUCGGCUAACUCCGUGCCAGCAGCCGCGGUAAUACGGAGGAUCCAAGCGUUAUCCGGAAUCAUUGGGUUUAAAGGGUCCGUAGGCGGUUUAAUAAGUCAGUGGUGAAAGCCCAUCGCUCAACGAUGGAACGGCCAUUGAUACUGUUAGACUUGAAUUACAAGGAAGUAACUAGAAUAUGUAGUGUAGCGGUGAAAUGCUUAGAUAUUACAUGGAAUACCAAUUGCGAAGGCAGGUUACUACUUGUGGAUUGACGCUGAUGGACGAAAGCGUGGGGAGCGAACAGGAUUAGAAACCCCAGUAGUCC